rnacentral:rRNA from 1 species
GACGAACGCUGGCGGCGUGCUUAACACAUGCAAGUCGAACGGAAAGGCCCUGCUUUUGUGGGGUGCUCGAGUGGCGCACGUGUGCGUAACACGUGAGUAACCUGCCCUUGACUUUGUGAUAACUUCAGGAAACUGGGGCUAAUACCGGCGAGCAGAUCCUGCUGCCUGGUGGUCGUUGGAAAGCUUAGGCGGUCGGGGAUGGACUCGAGGCUUAUCAGCUUGUUGGUGGGGUAGUGGCUUACCAAGGCUUUGACGGGUAGGCGGCAUGAGAGGGUGACCGGCCACAUGGGUACUAAGAUACGGACCAGUCUCCAACGGGGGGCAACAGUGGAGAGUGUUGCACAGUGAGCGGACGCCUGAUGCAGCGGCGCCGCGUGCGGAAUAAGGGGCUUCGGGGGGUAAACCGCUUUCGCCUGAUACGAAGCGUGAGUGACGGUAACAGGUAAGUAAGCACCGGCUAACUACGUG